AUACGGAGGGGGCUAGCGUUGUUCGGAAUUACUGGGCGUAAAGCGCGCGUAGGCGGAUUGAUCAGUCAGGGGUGAAAUCCCGAGGCUUAACCUCGGAACUGCCUUUGAUACUGUCAAUCUUGAGUUCGAGAGAGGUGAGUGGAAUUCCUAGUGUAGAGGUGAAAUUCGUAGAUAUUAGGAAGAACACCAGUGGCGAAGGCGGCUCACUGGCUCGAUACUGACGCUGAGGUGCGAAAGCGUGGGGAGCAAACAGGAUUAGAUACCCUUGUAGUCC
rnacentral:rRNA from 1 species